rnacentral:misc_RNA from 1 species
AACGCACAUUGCGCCCCUUGGUAUUCCAUGGGGCAUGCCUGUUCGAGCGUCAUUUGUACCUUCAAGCUAUGCUUGGUGUUGGGUGUUUGUCUCGCCUUUGCGUGUAGACUCGCCUCAAAACAAUUGGCAGCCGGCGUAUUGAUUUCGGAGCGCAGUACAUCUCGCGCUUUGCACUCAUAACGACGACGUCCAAAAGUACAUUUUUACACUCUUGACCUCGGAUCAGGUAGGGAUACCCGCUGAACUUAA